AGGUCUUAUGUCUGCCAGUGGUUACUUGACAUGGACCUCAUCAAACUCUUUGUUGUCCUACUAGUCUACCUUUAUCAUCAGAUCCCAAUAAUAAAUAGUCUGCGAACACCUGAUUGAGUCUUCAAGCAGAGAUUACGACAACACCUGCUCAAAGUUCCAGUUUCAUGAACAUCGCACCAUGUCUGUAUGAGACUCUGUCCCCGUCUUCAGUCAAGUCUGGACCCAAUGACUCCGACACCAGUCUUGUCAAGGCUAAUUAGAGAGAGGAUCAUGUCAGUACACAAUGAACACCUGGUGGACAACAUGCGAGUCCUCAAGCAGGACCUGUGAAAAUACACGCUUUCAGUUCCACUUUCUUGAACAUCAUGUGUGUGAGACUAUUCCAUGUUGAGUGACCUCUGCACUCAGGUCUGGACUCAGGAAGUCAUUACUCUUGAUCAACGCAGGGCAAGUGGCUAAUUAUUUCAUGUUUUUUCAUUCCACCAUGGAUUAUUCUUCAUAUGGACACAUGCUGGUUUUUCAAGAUCUCAAUACUGCUUUGUGAGUACACUGGACAAGUUAUUGGAUCAGUUCAAUCUGUUUUUCACAGAGAAUGUGUAAAUGCAAAAGCAGUUUCUCAAAGUUUAUCAACACAAGGCUAUA